rnacentral:lncRNA from 1 species
UUUGCAUCAGAUUGUAGCACCGCAAAACCACUCCUAAUGUUUUGUAGGAUUUGAAUGUCAAAUGUGUCUUCGCUCCCAUGAUCCAUUGGUAAUCUGACUCCAACGUCUCCAUUUUUAGGGCAUGUCGAUGUCAGUUCAGGUAGCAAACGAGGGUUGAUACUUGGGUCUGGACCACCAAGCGAUGCAAAGUUGUAGAGUCGUUCCUCCAUGAAGAAGCACGCAGUUGAACCAAUACCAUGGCCACAAUAUCCGCACAUGAAACCACACCAGGACAUAUACUUUCCAACUUUGCUUUUGCAUCCUCUAUUAUGUUAA